rnacentral:rRNA from 1 species
GAUAAACGCUGGCGGCGUGCAUAACACAUGCAAGUCGAACGAAGUGGCGAACGGGUGAGUAACACGUGAGUAACCUGCCUUACACAAGGGGAUAGCCUUUGGAAACGAAGAAUAAUACCCUAUAGUGUAAGAUGGCCUUGCGUCUGAUUAGCUAGUUGGUGAGAUAACGGCCCACCAAGGCAACGAUCAGUAGCCGGCUUGAGAGAGUGUAAGGCCACAUUGGGACGGAGACACGGCCCAAACUCUACGGGAGGCAGCAGUGGGGAAUUUUGCACAAUGGGGGAAACCCUGAUGCAGCGACGCCGCGUGAUUUAGAAGGCCUUCGGGUUGUAAAAAUCUGUUGUUAGAGAAGCGUUAGUAACUGAACGUCCCCUGACGGUAUCUAACCAGAAAGCCACGGCUAACUACGUGCCAGCCGCCGCGGUAAUUC